ACGGAAUAGAUACCCGGGUAGUCCCAGCCGUAAACGAUGCUCGCUAGGUGUCAGGCAUGGCGCGACCGUGUCUGGUGCCGCAGGGAAGCCGUGAAGCGAGCCACCUGGGAAGUACGGCCGCAAGGCUGAAACUUAAAGGAAUUGGCGGGGAGCACAACAACGGGUGGAGCCUGCGGUUUAAUUAGGACUCAACGCCGGACAACUCACCGGGGCGGACAGCAAUAUGUAGGCCAACGCUGAAGACUUUGUCCUGAAUCGCUGAGAGGAGGUGCAUGGCCGUCGCCAGUUCGUACUGUGAAGCAUCCUGUUAAGUCAGGCAACGAGCGAGACCCGUGCCCACUGUUACCAGCAUGUCCUCCGGGUAC
rnacentral:rRNA from 1 species